GUAAUUGAUUUUCCUUUCAGAUAACAAAUGGAUACAAAAAGGAAAUUUUGGAUAUAGCAAAUGAUUAUGUAAGCAACACAAAAGACUCGAUCAGGAAUGACAUUGGCAAAUGUACACCAUUAUGGAACCUCUAUGAUUCCAUUAUAUUGACGUCAGUGUGCAAAUACAUUGUUGAUUCAUUCAAUGGUUUCUGGUUCGCGAUCGGAUGGUGUUUAUUCUUUUUCGUUCCAAGUAUUGUAUUUUCUGUAAAGCUUGCCAAACAUUAUCGCACCAUGAACAGCGACGCAGAGUCAGAUAUACCUAAAGGUGACACAAAUAAUGCUUACGACACCAGUUCAAAUGAUCACUUUAGAAGUAACAAGGUUGGACACUCGGAUAUUCCUGACAGUCAAUAUUAAAACAGACGCCCAACAUACAACAUGGACUAGUUGGGAAAAAUUUGAACUUUUAUUUCAAUUUUCUUAUUAUUUUUAACUUUUGUAUGUCUUAAAACCAUCCCCUUCCAGAAGAGAAAAAUGCUAUGAUAUAUGAGCAAUCAGCUGCCAAUCAUAUUAUCAUAGUAUCAAAAAAUGAAAAAUACGAAAAAAUAAAAAAACUCUUAUUGAACGUGUAACUGCACCAGCGUUUUUUUACACAUACAUGUAUUAUUCUUUUACCACUUAUUUCGACAUGUUUAUGUUAUAAUUUUUGUAUUCUGUUUUAAUGAAGAAUUAAUGUUAUAAAUAUUGUAACUAUUGAUGUUGAAGGAUCACAAUGCCCGUAUAUACAUGUAUAAGUUUAUGGAAGUUUAUUUAAGCUAGUUUGUUUAAUAGAGAACUUUAUUUAUGCUCUAGAACUAUGUCCACCGCUUAAUAUACACCUUCAUCAAACUUAAGCAACUACGAAUAACAUUUAUUUAAACAACAAAAGUCGCGUUAAAAAGACUUUUUAAUAUCUGUCUACGAUACUACAUUUAGAAUUUAAGUCGAUUAUAUGACGUCAUAAAACAAAAAGCUGUGAUUCUUUUUUACGGGUUUAAUACCAAUGAACUGUGAUGUCUUUUCAAAUUCCAUUUGAAAUACUUGUCUGUUAUAUGUUAGUUGUUUUAUUUUUGUAGAAAUCUUUCAAACUGUAUUUUUUAUUUACACAGAAGUUUUGUUAAUGCAUAUUUUUGGAAUAUCAAUUUUUUCAGACAUAUAGACCUUUUUAUAAUACGAUUUUUCCAUAGCAUACAUGUUGCAUUUCGCGCAUGCGCAUUCUGCGUAGGGCAAAAGCGCAAUAACGAUAGACUACAUUUAGCGUACUUGAAGGCAAUAAAAGACGUGAUUAUAAGUUAUGAAAACUGAUUUUUUUUGAUGAAUUAAGCGGUUAGUACUUCAAACGUGAAUUGAUAUUUAUAACAAAUAUACAAAGUUAGCGGGCCUAAUAAUUCAAUGACCAUAAGUCCUGUUCAAGGUAUCAUACAAUGACUUUUUCAUCAGUAAUUUAAAUUGAAACAGUAGGGUGUUAAAGAUAUAAUUUUAUUACCCAUGUAUUACAUAUUCUAACACGACUCGCAUUUUUCCCUAUUGAACAUAGAAGAACCGAAAGUGUGUGUUAUAAUGCUAUAAAAUCACUGUUUGACGUUCUAUAUUUAGACAUGUGAUGUAAUCAUUAUACACGUUUGACGUAGCCACUAAAAAUGUGACGCGCUGACAAUAAGUACGGAAACAAAUCAAGCACAAUUAAGCUAAAUAUCAGGUACGGCAGCAUUUAUUUGUUGGUGUCGUGUUAGAAUCGAAAUAAUAUAUCCAAAUCGGUGAUUUUAUUGCUUGAUAACAUCACUGUGUGUCGUUCGGAUGCGCAUCAUUAUAUCACUCGGGCUACGCCCUCGUGAUAUAAUUCCUCGCACCCGAACUCCAAACAGUGAUGUUAUUGAGCAAUAAAAUCACAGUUUGGGAUAUAUUAUUUCUUAAAUAUUACACACUCGAUAUUCCUGCAAGGCGGUAAUGAAGUGUCAAACGGAUUGACACGUGAUCGAGUGACCGCUUAAUCGUUAUUUGCCAGCUAUAGAUUUUAGUAUCAUUCAACCGGGACGUUUUAGUAACAUGACAUAGUCAAUCACAUAAAAUUAUGAAAUUAUCGUUAUUUAAAUUACUUUUUAAGUUUAUACCAUCAAUGUUUAUUAAUUUUGUGAAGUGACAAUUAAAUAGUGUACGUGGGGUCAAGUUGGAAAAAAGAUAAUAGUAGAUAAGCUGAAAACUUAAAAUGCAUUAAUUAUCACUUGUUCCGACUUAUUUUCAGAAUAAUAAUAAACCUCUAUUUUAAAUGUCUUUAGUUUUUAUAAUAACAAUUUAAACAAUUAAAAAAAACUUCUUUAUUUGAUAAUAUAUAUUUCGACAUGUUUGUAUAACAAUUAUCUCAUUGUCAUGUCCGUGAUCGUAAGAGAGAAUUCUAUAACAGUCGUCUUUUCCGUGUCUUUUUUGUGGCAAUUUUGGCCACAAAGCUAUAAAUGUAUUUUUCAUGUUUGUGUAAAAAAGCUAUUUUAUAUGAUUUCCUGUUUUUUACCUUAAACUGACUCUGAAUUAUCUAUGGACGUUUUUUGCCCUACUCAGAUUGCGCAUGUGCGUGAAAAUACUACUUCCGGUCAAUUUUUUCAUAGCAACAGACCGCGUCGUAAAAAGGUCAAUAUCAUGCAUAAUGUGUUAUUUUCUUCAUAAACGUCAUAGCUUUUAGUAAUUUGCUACAAAUAAGAAACAGAGUUUGGCUUUUAUAACUUGAAGAGCAUAAUAUUUUUUUCAUACGCAAUUAGAUACACAUAUAUAUAUCAUAAAUUGAAUGAACGUUCUCCCUAAAUAAUCAUUUUUUUCUGUUUGUGUAAGUAUUGCAUCUAAAAGAGUGCCUUUAACAGAUGUUUAUAUACGAAAUCUAGAAAAUGUUAUCCCUCGGAUUCAUCAAAACAAAAUUACAUGGAAAUUGCAGACUCAGUUUGAUCGAGUCUGUAUAUGAGGUAAAAUGAAAAAUGCAACAUAUCACACUCCCGCUAGCACCGGCUUGAGCGGUCCUAAUUUUUCAUCACUUAAAAUAUCUUGAAACAAUGAUUCCGAAUCUAGUAUACUGAGAUUUUAUAUUUUCUAUAUUGCUGUUUCCAAUUUUUCUAUCACAUGAUACCAGCAAUGCACGGUACAUGCGUAUAUCACACUCUAUUUUCCUUUUAUCUAUUUAAGUAUUUUACAGAUAUUUGAUUUUGUUAUAUCCGUCCAAACUGUGUACACUUUGUGUAUUUAUUUUAUAAUAAAGACAUUAAAGAUGAAA